rnacentral:lncRNA from 1 species
GAGAUAAUUCAAGAUUUUUCAAUAUAUAAAGAUAUUUCAAUAAGAUGCACCUUUUUGAAAUCAAAAGUUGUAAAAAAUCCUACUCAGUACUCCCUCUUUCCCGUUGUUUCUUUAUGUUUAUCAUUCUUAUAUUCUAUAUUUUCCCCAAUUUUAAACCUUUUUUUUAUCUUACCCCGUUCAUAUCUUCCUCUUAAUCUAUGUUCUUAACAACUUACUUCUUUAACCACACCUCGAAACUUCAUCUGGCAACUAACACUUGUCCUUCGUCUAUUCUGCAGACAUGUCGGACUAUCAAGACCAGAAUUUCUAGGAAUUUACAGGUUAAUCCAUCGUUGUUA